rnacentral:lncRNA from 1 species
GUCAUUCGUCUUUGUCAUUCAGAGGAUAAAGAUGCUGAAGAAGAAAGGAGCAAAAUGCCUGAUGCCUCAGGAUUUGUGGACUCUUCCAUGUGAAGCCUGGAAGGGGCUUUGCAGAUUAGGAUCAGCAUUUAGAGUGACCUCACCACGUAUGUAUGUGGAAUUAGGACGAAGGUGUGUAGGAUGCUGAAUUAACUGGACCAAGGUUAAAAAUCCCAGCGUGGCCUCUUACAAACUGCUUGACUCUGGGAAAAUUCCUUAUACCUUCCAAUCCUUAGGUCCUUCAUCUGAAAAAUGGGAUGCUACCACGCCUGUCUCAUGGAGCUGCUGUUAGCUAAAAUGAAACAAAGGAGGAAAAAGCCCUUUGCACAGUCUGGAGCAUUACCAGAGUCCUGGAAUAUUUCCAGCAAAUGUUGGUUCAUGUCCUCUUCACAUGCAAAGGGAAAGCGACUUGUCACAAAAGCCGGGUCCCCUUGAGCAGGCCUACAGGGCAAGCUUUGUUUGGGUUGAGGCUGCCAGGACUCAAACGGCACCCUGACUCUGAAAAUGAUUAUUCAGAGUGCUGCAUUUUUGCCUCUGUGAAGCCAAUAUCCUGACUAUGUUGGUGUUAGGAGCCUAACCUGUGAUUUCGCUUUCUUGUGGUUGGGAGAUGGACUGGACGGUCCCUGACAGACCCAUGGGGAGCUGUCCAAACAAAGUUGAGAGAGUGGACUGUGAUCCAUGGGCAGUAUCUCUGUGCUCCUGUGCCAACAGCAGUAAUGAUCGAUCAGUCAAUCAGCAAACCAAAAAAUAAAAUCAUGGAUGUUUUCUACAUGCCGGACACUGUGCCAGAGAUUUUUUGGAGGUCUAAAUCUCUGUUGGAUUUGCCAGUUCCCCUUCUGCCUUGGAGAAGGCCCCAAAGGAUUCUUUGCAGGUGACUGGAACCGAGAUGGAAAAUCUAAGGCUUUCAUUCAUGGAGCAAGUCAGAAACACAGAGCUCAGGAGAGAAGCCAUCUCUCUUUGUCCACACCAGGAGAUGAGUCCACUGUCACAUGCUCUUGGGAUAUGCCUCCUGAAGUCAGCGCUCCUGAGUCACCCCGCUGUCAGCGGUGCCUGGAAGCUGUCUGUGCAAAGCAGAAUUUUGUCCCUAUGUCUUCCCGAUUCCCAGGCAAGCUGGCUGUGAAAGCAUUCAUGGAUGCUGGGACAUCGCUGCAAGAAGCUGAGGCUACUGCUGCUCAUCUCCAGGGCAGGGAAUGGGCAGCCUCUCCUCCAGCACGAGAGCCUGGGUUCCGCUCCUUCCUCCCGAAGGGACUUAAAGAAGAAAUCACACAGGGGAAGGCCUCAGCUGUGGGAGGCUGGAGCAGCAAAGCCAAUAAACCCAGCUUUAUUUGUAAUGUGCCUGUGCUUGUUAUUUUGUUAGCCUCUACUCUGCUUCUUUGGAGCAAUGAAACAAGGAAAAGAAAAGAAAAAAAAGAAAGAGCCCCGCUCUAA